GUCUCCCAGUCCAGCCAAACUGCCUCUAUUUUGCCUGUCUUGAGGCUGUGGGCGAAAGUGCUGAUUUGGCUUCGAAAACACUGGAAGUAUAAAAGUGGCUAUAAAAGGAACAAGAGAAUGGCAACAUCUGCUGGAGUCGCCAAAACUGGGAAGAAGGUAUGGUGAGACACCCAAGCUGGCAGAGUGAAGAAUGCAGGAACCGGAAGAGUCAAGGACUGGAGGCAACCAACAUAGCAUUUUUAAGUAUCUAAUAGGUGCCAAGCAUCGUGCUAAUCAAUGCAGAGAGAGCCUAAUCCCAAAGAUACAGCUCUUGGCCAUUAAAGGUGACAGAUCUGUUUGGGUAAUAAUACAAGUCCAAAAUCAGC
rnacentral:lncRNA from 1 species